rnacentral:rRNA from 1 species
UACGGGGGGGGCAAGCGUUGUUCGGAAUUACUGGGCGUAAAGGGCUCGUAGGCGGCCAACUAAGUCAGACGUGAAAUCCCUCGGCUUAACCGGGGAACUGCGUCUGAUACUGGAUGGCUUGAAUCCGGGAGAGGGAUGCGGAAUUCCAGGUGUAGCGGUGAAAUGCGUAGAUAUCUGGAGGAACACCGGUGGCGAAGGCGGCAUCCUGGACCGGCGUUGACGCUGAGGAGCGAAAGCCAGGGGAGCAAACGGG